rnacentral:rRNA from 1 species
AUUGAACGCUGGCGGCAGGCCUAACACAUGCAAGUCGAACGAGUGGCGGACGGGUGAGUAAUGUCUGGGAAACUGCCUGAUGGAGGGGGAUAAGUACUGGAAACGGUAGCUAAUACCGCAUACCAUCGGAUGUGCCCAGAUGGGAUUAGCUAGUAGGUGGGGUAAAGGCUAACCUGGGCGACGAUCCCUAGCUGGUCUGAGAGGAUGACGUGGCAAACUGGAAGUGAGAAAGGGUGCAGACUCCUACGGAGGGCGGCAGUGGGGAAUAUUGCACAAUGUGCGAAAGCCUGAUGCAGCAAGGCGGCGGGUAUGAAGAUGGCGUUCGGGGUGUAAAGUACUUUCAGCGAGGAGGCGUUACCCGCAGAAGAAGCACCGGCUAACUCCGUGCCAGCAGCCGCGGUAAUUC